rnacentral:rRNA from 1 species
UACGUAGGGGGCAAGCGUUGUCCGGAUUUAUUGGGCGUAAAGAGCGUGUAGGCGGCUGGGUAGGUCCGCUGUGAAAACUCGAGGCUCAACCUCGAGACGUCGGCGGAAACCCUCCAGCUAGAGUCCGGAAGAGGAGAGUGGAAUUCCUGGUGUAGCGGUGAAAUGCGCAGAUAUCAGGAAGAACACCCGUGGCGAAAGCGGCUCUCUGGGACGGUACUGACGCUGAGACGCGAAAGCGUGGGGAGCGAACAGG